UACGUAGGGGGCAAGCGUUGUCCGGAAUCAUUGGGCGUAAAGAGCGUGUAGGCGGCCCGGUAAGUCCGCUGUGAAAGUCCAGGGCUCAACCCUGGGAUGCCGGUGGAUACUGUCGGGCUCGAGUCCGGAAGAGGAGUGUGGAAUUCCUGGUGUAGCGGUGAAAUGCGCAGAUAUCAGGAGGAACACCAAUGGCGAAGGCAGGUCACUGGGACGCAACUGACGCUGAGGAGCGAAAGCAUGGGGAGCGAACAGG
rnacentral:rRNA from 1 species